rnacentral:lncRNA from 1 species
UUUGGUUUUGUAUUGAGUGAGCCCUUCCUACAGACAGGUGCUUUCUUCCCCAACCUAUGACAGUUUGACAGGAUUUUUUUUUUCUUCAGCUUUAAGUUGAUGGAAAAGAAUACUGUGUUGGUUUGAAUGGGAAUGUCCCCCAUAGACUCGAGUGUUUAAAUGCUUGGCACUAUCAGGAGGCAUGGCCUUGCAGGACUGGGUUUGACCUUGUUGGAGGAAGUGUAUCACUAUGAGUGGGCUUUGAGGUCUCUUAUAUGCUCAGGCUAUGCCCAAUGUGGAACAGUCUCCUUCUACUGCCUGUGGAGCAAGAUGUGGGACAGUCAGCACCUUCCCCAGCCUGCGUGCUGCCAUGCUUGCCGACCUGACAAUAAUGAACUCAGCCUUUGAAACUGUAAGCCAGCCCCAUUGUUUCCCUUUGUAAGAGUUGUCUUGGUCAUGAUGUCUCUUCACAGCAACAAAACCGUAACUGAGACCAUAUGACCAUUUUGAUUUUCACUUCUAAUACAAUAUUCAGUAAUGCUGGAGUCAUGUUUUUGUGCACUCUGUAAAGAUUAUCCUUGUAUUAUUCAAAUGAUGAUUUUUGAACCAGCAGAGAUCUCAUUCCAGACCAGAUUUUGGGAUUGUUAAAUAUCUCUUGCCUUAGUAUUUUGUAGACUGAGCUCUCAUCCUCUUCUGAAUAGUUAAAAGUCCUAUGGCCUAGAGCAAAAAAGCAGAAUAGUAAGGUGGGACUUCCAGAGAGAGAGGAACUCUGGGAAGGGAGGAGGGGCAGCCAACCAGACAUGGAGGAAGAAGCAGGCUGGGAGGAAAGGAGAGGCACCAGAUCACAUAAUCUAGAAGAUCCUGUGUGGAACAGAGACUCAGAGCUCAAAUGUGAACAAGAAAUCCACUUUGUUCUUCUAAGCCAUGAGGAUCAUUUGCCAUAAUACAGGCCACACCCAGAUGAUCACCAGAACUAUAGCAGGAGAAUAAAAGAUACGGGCUCAUGGAACCAAAGACAGAGUGACCAACUCCGCACCUGAGUGGCAUGAAGACCCUAAAACCUUCAGUUAGUCCUCUGUGACUCGACUUUCUUGUCUGUAAGCUGUGGGUAACAAGAAAUCCACCAGAGAGGUGGAUCUCAAUUACUUCUCUACUGCUGUGAUGAAACACCAUGACCAAAGCAACCUGACGGGAAAGGGUUCACUUGGCUUACACGUCCAUCCCAUAGUCAGUCACUGGAAGGAGUCAGGGCAGGAACCUGGAGGCAGGAGCUGAUGCAGAGGCCACGGAAGGAUGCUGCUUACUGUCUUGCUCACAUGGCUCACUUAGCCUGCUUUCUUCUAUAACUCAGG